AGUAUCCUUACGUGAAUACAUAGCGUGAGGAAGGCAGACCCAGGGAACUGAAACAUCUAAGUACCUGGAGGAAGAGAAAGAAAAAUCGAUUUCCUGAGUAGCGGCGAGCGAAACGGAAAGAGCCCAAACCAAGAAGCUUGCUUCUUGGGGUUGUAGGACACUCUAUACGGAGUUACAAAAGAAAGUUAUAAAUGAAGCGGUCUGGAAAGGCCCGCCAAAGACGGUAACAGCCCGGUAGUUGAAAUGGCUUUCCCUCCAGAGUGGAUCCUGAGUACGGCGGAACACGUGAAAUUCCGUCGGAAUCCGGGAGGACCAUCUCCCAAGGCUAAAUACUCCCUAGUGACCGAUAGUGAACCAGUACCGUGAGGGAAAGGUGAAAAGCACCCCGGAAGGGGAGUGAAACAGUUCCUGAAACCGUGUGCCUACAAGUAGUUAGAGCCCGUUAAUGGGUGAUAGCGUGCCUUUUGUAGAAUGAACCGGCGAGUUACGAUUUGUUGCAAGGUUAAGCGGAAAAAGCGGAGCCGUAGCGAAAGCGAGUCUGAAUAGGGCGCAUAAGUAACAGGUCGUAGACCCGAAACCAGGUGAUCUACCCAUGUCCAGGAUGAAGGUAAGGUAAUACUUACUGGAGGUCCGAACCCACGCACGUUGAAAAGUGCGGGGAUGAGGUGUGGGUAGCGGAGAAAUUCCAAUCGAACUUGGAGAUAGCUGGUUCUCUCCGAAAUAGCUUUAGGGCUAGCCUCGAGGUAAAGAGUCAUGGAGGUAGAGCACUGUUUGGACUAGGGGCCCUUCUCGGGUUACCGAAUUCAGAUAAACUCCGAAUGCCAUGUACUUAUACUCGGGAGUCAGACUGCGAGUGAUAAGAUCCGUAGUCGAAAGGGAAACAGCCCAGACCACCAGUUAAGGUCCCCAAAUAUAUGUUAAGUGGAAAAGGAUGUGGGGUUGCUUAGACAACCAGGAUGUUGGCUUAGAAGCAGCCACCAUUGAAAGAGUGCGUAAUAGCUCACUGGUCGAGUGACCCCGCGCCGAAAAUGUACCGGGGCUAAACAUAUUACCGAAACUGUGGAUGAACCUCUUUAGAGGUUCGUGGUAGGAGAGCGUUCUAAGGGCGGUGAAGUCAGACCGGAAGGACUGGUGGAGCGCUUAGAAGUGAGAAUGCCGGUAUGAGUAGCGAAAGAAGGGUGAGAAUCCCUUCCACCGAAUAUCUAAGGUUUCCUGAGGAAGGCUCGUCCGCUCAGGGUUAGUCGGGACCUAAGCCGAGGCCGAUAGGCGUAGGCGAUGGACAACAGGUAGAGAUUCCU
rnacentral:rRNA from 1 species